UACGAUAUUGGUAUUUAGGACA
rnacentral:miRNA from 1 species